rnacentral:rRNA from 1 species
GACGAACGCUGGCGGCGUGCUUAACACAUGCAAGUCGAGCGGUAAGGCCCUUUCGGGGGUACACGAGCGGCGAACGGGUGAGUAACACGUGGGUGACCUGCCCUCAGCUCUGGGAUAAGCCCGGGAAACUGGAUCUAAUACUGGAUAUUACUCUGCGGUGCAUGCCGUGGGGUAGAAAGCCUUGUGCGGCUGGGGAUGGGCCCGCGGCCUAUCAGCUUGUUGGUGGGGUGAUGGCCUACCAAGGCGACGACGGGUAGCCGGCCUGAGAGGGCGACCGGCCACACUGGGACUGAGACACGGCCCAGACUCCUACGGGAGGCAGCAGUGAGGAAUCUUGCGCAAUGGGCGAAAGCCUGACGCAGCGACGCCGCGUGAGGGAUGACGGCCU